rnacentral:tRNA from 1 species
AAGGCUUUAAGUUAAAUAAACUAAUAGCCUUCAAAGCUAUAAAUAUAAGAAAUGAUCUUUUAAGCCUUAG